CUUGCUCGCGCACGCUUUUUCAGUUCUGCCCACAAAUUUUCUAUAAGAUUGGGGUCAGGGCUUUGUGAUGGCCACUCCAAUACCUUGACUUUGUUGUCCAUAAGCCAUUUUGGCACAACUUUGGGGAUUUUAUUUCACCCCAAAGUCAUGGAAUUUGCUUGGUCAUUAAAAGUUCAAAUUGGUGAUCCUAUAGCUAUCAGAGAUGAUCCCUAAUUUUAGAGAAUCUCCGAUGCUAUAAAUGCUUUUGGUUUUAAUACAGGCUAUGGCAGUGUUUUUCGUAGUUACAGUCCACCAAAUUGAAAAGUGUAUAUUCACUUCCAUAAUAUUUGUUCUAGGCAAUAAACAUACAGAAUACCCAUACAAAAAUGCAGUAAAAUGGCAGUACCGUGAAAUAAUGGUUGUUUAAUUAUAUCUGGUAGCUUGCUGUAUGUGUUGGCUUCUAAUGGUCAUUUUUUCAUUUGUGUUCGCUAAUUGCACUGUUUAUUGUGCUGCACAUUUUCUUCUGUUCCACUGAAUUCUGUUUGGAAGUUUUAUGACAAAUAAAUAGUUAUUGAAAUAAAAGACAUGCUUGUAUUAUUUCUUUAUUUCAUUUAUUUCAUGCUUCAAUCCACUAGGGUUUUCAAAACCCUAUUUUUAUCGCAUUUAUUUCCAUACAUCAUUUGUCAAUGUAUUGCACCUGAAUUUGACCCUGAAAAUAUUACUAUUAUAUUUUCCCUUAGCUUUUAAGCAAUUAACAGAAUCCGUGCAGUCAUUUAAUUUUCAUUUAUGUAGCUAAAUAUGGAGGUAACCAUAUUAGGUCUAGCUAAAAAAAAAAAAAUCUCUGCAUGCAGCCUGCUUGCUCGAGCACAUUGGUCAACAGCAACAGUUUUUCAAAAUGUACACAACUUCUAAAAGUGGUAGUCCCUGUUCUCCUGAAUUCUUGUUUUACCUUUGUAAGUAAAGCGGCAGUUUGUUGGGGAGACGAAAGUCAAGGUAAGCUUAGCUAGCUAACUAACUAAUUCAGCUGGCUAAUGCUAGCUCUCUGGCUAAUCCACUAUGGACAUGGUACAUUUGAAUUUCUACCUGUUGAAGCUAGCUAGAUAACAUUUGAAUAUCUGUUGAGUUAAUGAUUGUAAAGGGGGGUGUGUGUGUAUAUUUUCUGCAGGUGUGUGAGAGAGGAUGAUCACAAUAACUUUAGAAAACAUUCAUGUCAACGUAGUCAUGCUAGCUAUGUGUGUGUUCAGUGUGAGAGAGAUGAUUGUGAUCAUAAUCUAUAGAAAAUAUCAUAUCAACAUUGUGUCAUGCUAGCUGUGAGUGUGUGCGUGUGGGGUGUGUGUGUAUAUUUUCUGCAGGUGUGUGAGAGAGGAUGAUCACAAUAACUUUAGAAAACAUUCAUGUCAACGUAGUCAUGCUAGCUAUGUGUGUGUUCAGUGUGAGAGAGAUGAUUGUGAUCAUAAUCUAUAGAAAAUAUCAUAUCAACAUUGUGUCAUGCUAGCUGUGAGUGUGUGCGUGUGUGAUAUACACAUAGGAAACAUUGUGUGUGAGACAGUAAGGUAGCCUACUGUAAAAUUCUUGAAAUGUGUACCUCCCCACACUGGAUGUGAAGAUUUUUCUUGAUUAAUCAGAUAUCUUUUGUAUUUGACAAUAGGAUACAUUUAGCCUAUCCCUGCUCCCCCUCAACACUCAUUCUAACGUUACACCUCUCAACUGCCCUUUUCAAUUCUUUCUCUCUUUUUUUUGCAGGAAUCUUCUAGCUUGGAUGGAGGAAACAAAGGGAGGAGUACAGAAUUUAUCUAGCCUGCUGACUAAGAAAUGUAAAUAGCCUGUUUUGCUUUCUGUCUAUCUAUAUCUCCAUCUGUCUGCCUCACUGCCAGGUUGCUGAGGGGCAACAUAUUCAAUGUACUUGCUAGGCUAACUUAGUGAAGAUCUUAGGUAAUGGUGACUCAUGAUUCAUCUGUCUUUACAGUUCCUGAAACAUGUCAAUGACGUGAUGCAUGGCCUCUACAGCAGUGCUUCGGCACCCACUCAGUUACCAGUGACCUAUUUUGGCACAUCCCAGUGAAAGGAGAGAGCAGAAGCACCCUUCCUUAAAUCUAUAGUCAUUGACAAUCUGACCCAUCGCACGACUCUUGAAGAGGGCCAUGAGAAUCUCCAGUACCCCAUAACAACUCUUAUUAAUCAUUCAUUGCCUUUAUAUAUUCUGUGUCCCUGUCUUUCUAUGCAUGUAGUCUG